rnacentral:lncRNA from 1 species
UCAGUGUUAUCAAAAGCGAAAAGAGCAAAAAAGCUCUAAGGUCCGUGGGGGCUUUAAGCGCAAAGCGCAAAUAAAGCGUGGGCUUUAAUGAAAAAAGGCGCAAAGGGAGAAAAGAAUACAAAUAUAUAUGUUUAGCCAAGACUAAUAAUUAUAAAUAUGAAUGACAAAUAUAUGACCAAAGAAAUUGAAAAAAUAUUAUGAUAAAGUGAAAUAUCAAUUAUUUAGUGUCACUUCUUCAUAAGAGGCUCAUUGGCAAGGAAAUGUUUGUCUUAGAACCUUGAUGACAACACUGAAGCACACAUAAAGCGAGGCGAAGCGCUCAACACGUUUUGAGCCUCGCUUUAGGGCUUAAGCGCGCUUAAAGCGCGCCUUUGAUAACACUGC